UACGUAGGUGACAAGCGUUGUCCGGAUUUACUGGGCGUAAAGAGCGCGCAGGCGGUCGGUCAAGUCGAGUGUGAAAGCCCCCGGCUCAACUGGGGAGGGUCAUUCGAUACUGAUCGACUCGAAGGCAGGAGAGGGUAGUGGAAUUCCCGGUGUAGUGGUGAAAUGCGUAGAUAUCAGGAGGAACACCGGUGGCGAAGGCGGAUCUCUGGGCCAUUACUGACGCUGAGGAGCGAAAGCGUGGGGAGCGAACAGG
rnacentral:rRNA from 1 species